AUCUGCCUGGCUCCCUGGAUGCCAACUAAGAAGUUUAUCAAUGAGCAUUGACAACAUCCUAGUUGGCAUCAGAGGAGUCAAGCAGGU
rnacentral:pre_miRNA from 1 species